rnacentral:rRNA from 1 species
UAUACCCAAACCUGACACAGGGAGGUAGUGACAAGAAAUAACAACACUGGAAAUUAUAUUUCUAGUGAUUGGAAUGAUGGGAAUCCAAACCCCUUUCAGAGUAACAAUUGGAGGGCAAGUCUGGUGCCAGCAGCCGCGGUAAUUCCAGCUCCAAUAGCGUAUAUUAAAGUUGUUGCAGUUAAAAAGCUCGUAGUUGGAUAUCUGCUGGAAGCAGCCAGUCCGCCCUUUGUGGGUGUGCACUUGGUGAAUUCUGGCAUCCUCCUGAUUGGUGUUAUCAUCACUUCAUUGUGUUGAUGGCAGCUGUCAGGACCGUUACUUUGAGAAAAUUAGAGUGUUUCAAGCAGGCUUGUUGCCUUGAAUACUGCAGCAUGGAAUAACAAGAUAGGAUUUCGGUUCUAUUUUGUUGGUUUCUAGGACUGAAGUAAUGAUUAAUAGGGACAGUUGGGGGCAUUCGUAUUUAA